AGAUCUUCCAGCUGAAAUCAAGACUUCAAAAAGUCCAAUGUUGAAGCAGUUCUGAAUUGAGAUCUCAUAAUUCCCAAGGACAUAGGGAAGCUACAUCAUUCCCAAUGGAGAACAACACAGAGUGAAUUGAGUUGGAAUUCCUGUACUGAACAUAGCUGAUAAAACAUCAUGGCCAGUGCAUAAGUAAGUCCAGAUAAUGUGAGUAAGCAGAGACAAACAAGGAUGUCUAUUUUCCCCCAUAUUUAAGACAAGUUUGCUGGCAGCUAAGCUGUGAGCAUGGACUUGCAAUAUGAAGAUACCAACUGAAAGUGUGUCAUCUUCCUUGAAGAGCAAGAGAACUUGGAGGCUUUUGACCACUACCUGAGACAGAUUAUUUUUCUAAUGGUAUUUAUACAUUAUUCCAUGACUGAAUUUCCAACUUUAGACUUAGUAUUCAGGAUAGACUAUCUCUUUUUUUCCAGGCGCAAGGUAAGCUUCUAUGUUCCACAUGUACAUUUAGUAAAACAGGGAAUUCAUGCAAAAGCAGUGGGACAGCUAUAGAUACUAUAUUAUUUUAGAACAGGAGUAGAUGCUUUAAAUUUCUUUUUAUAAAAACAUAUGCUGAGGCUGGAGUAUAGAGAUGUCAAAACUUCCAUUGGUAAGGUGUUCAGUGAUACUUGUGAAAUAUCAUACUGCUUCCCUAAAGAAGAUGAAAAAAAUAAGAUAGAUGAUGUGCUGAUUAAGUAGGUGGUAAUUUCAUCUUACUCACUAUCAGGCUUCUACUGGAAGUAAAACAAACAAAAAUAACAGAAGUGUGCAUUGACAGCUCUUCAGACUAUAAAAGGAACUAAGUAAGUUAGCAAGAUGCAUACAGAAUUGUAACCUUUCCCCCAUAAUCUCAUCCUUAUUAUGACUAGUACAUCUAAUGCUCGUUGUGAAGUAGCUAAAAGCACAAAUUUUGAUUAGGUUGGAACUUGGUUUCAGUUGUGAAUCUUGACUAUUCUCCAUACUAGUUGUAUAAUUGUAGAAUAUCACAAAACUUUUCAAAUAUCAAAUUCUCGUAAUGGUAAAAUAGUAAUAACAAUAAUACUUAUCACACACAAACACACACGUAAACAUUUAUAUAAAAAGUUCUUAACAUCUGUUGUAGAACAUAGUAUAUUCUAAAAGUGGUUAUGUGAGUUAAGUUUGGCAAACAUAAGGCUUUCAAGGGCUAAACUUACGCAGUGUGGAAAGACAGUAGGCAAUAGUAGUUAGCAGAUGAAUAGUAGUUAGAGGAUGAAUGCCCUUUCUAAUUUAAAACACUAUUCAUAUGCAAGAACUGAUCUAAAUAAUAAUUUUACAACUCAGAACCUGCCACCAAAACAGAUCUGCAGAUCUGCAGACUAAAGGAAACCCACGAACGAUGCAUUUUAAACUAUAAGGAUCUGCAUUCAACUAAGAGAUGGCAAAAAUGAAAGAAAAGAAUGUGUUUAAGUAAAGGAGAUGCUGCGAAACCGAGCUAAAAUGUAAGUUUCAAAGAAGAAAUUAAACAGAAGAAUGGUUCACAUGGAAUUGCUGGAGCAGUCAAUCAUUUGUGUGAAAAAAGACAGAAUGAGAAUUAUUGGGAGGCACAGAAAAUCUCAGUAGCCCUAGUAUGUGAGGAAAGACAAAUUGAAGAAGGGGCUACAAGACUUCAAAAUUUACCAACACACAAAGCCCUGCCAUCCUCCUUUAUGAAACUAACAGAGAUCAUCAUUCCAUUCUAACAGUAACAUUAUAGUUAGCUCUCAUCAGACUGUGCUAAACAUUUAACAUUUUGUUUAUUGUUGUAAAAAUGUAUUAUUUCAUUGAAUUUUCAAAAUAAUGCCUUGAGGUUGAUCUCAUUAAUAUUUUCAUUCUGCAGGUAAAAUAAACAAGGUUCAGGGAAGUUAGUCUGGGACCGAUGCUGCCUAAGUAGUAAAUGGUAGGGCUGAUAUGCACCUCUUCCCAAUCCCAAGCUCUAUAUCUGAUGCUGCCUUCCCCUCAGAAUUGCCUUUGCUGGUUGUACAUUUCUCUACUUCUCCAGCUGUCCUGAGACCGUUAAUGUGCAUUUUCCUCUCAGUUACCUCAUUGUGAAACCUGCCUAAGGUUGCAACAACAAAGACAAUGAGUAAUUGUAAAUUGCUUCACAUUCAAUUUGAUUUAGAUUCAAUUUAGACCAUUGAACUUGAGAACAACUCUCCUGAGCCAGAAGAUAGGCUUGACUAUUAACACUUGUGUAUAUAUGAAUAAAUGACUUAAUCUUGUGAGCCUCACAAAUUAAAUAAAUGCAAUAACUAAUCAACCUCAUUAUAUUGUUGAGAGGAAUCAAUAUACGUACAAAUUGCCUAGAGCAGUUCCCAGUAUGUGAGCAACAUAAAUAUAUAAGUUUUACUGGAUUAGGGAAAACGGAAUUGGCAGAAAAAUUAGUUCCAGAUGCGUCAUCUUGGACACAUCAUUAAAUAUACUACAUAGCAGUUUAUAAAUUUAUAAAAUGGAAACAUUAGGAUGUUAUUUAUAAAGAUCCCCUGGAUUCAACAGAUUGCAACUGUGUAGAUAAUUCAUUAAAGAUUGUUAUUAAGCCUAUGCUUUAGAUCUAUAGAAUUUUGAAGUAUGAAUUGUUGCUCUAAUUACAUAAUGCAUAUAGUAUUUAUACAUUUCUAAAUCUCUUUUUUGUUUAUCACUCUAUUGCUUUAUUUCUUAUUGCUACAGGACAUCUUAUGAUUCCUGAUAAUACCGAUGGAGAAUUGUACAGAAAUGACAAAGUUCAUACUUCUAGGACUAACUAAUGCCCCAGAACUACAGGUCCCCCUCUUUAUCUUGUUCACCUUCGUCUACCUCCUCACUCUGUGUGGGAACGUGGGGAUGAUGAUGCUGAUCCUGAUGGACUCUUAUCUCCACACCCCCAUGUACUUUUUCCUCAGUAACCUGUCUCUGGUGGAUUUUGGAUACUCCUUAACUGUCACUCCCAAGGUCAUGGCUGGGUUCCUUAGAGGAGACAAGGUCAUCUCCUACAAUGCAUGUGCUGUUCAGAUGUUCUUCUUUAUAGCCUUGGCCACUGUGGAAAAUUACUUGUUGGCCUCAAUGGCCUAUGACCGCUAUGCAGCAGUGUGCAAACCCCUACACUACACCACCACCAUGACGGCCAGUGUAUGUGCUCAUCUGGCCCUAGGCUCAUAUGUCUGUGGCUUCCUAAAUGCCUCAUUCCACAUUGGGGGCAUAUUCAGUCUCUCUUUCUGUAAGUCCAAUGAAGUCCAUCACUUUUUCUGUGAUGUUCCAGCAGUCAUGGCUCUGUCUUGCUCUGAUAAACACAUUAGUGAGGCGAUUCUGGUUUUUAUGUCAAGUUUUAAUAUCUUUUUUGCUCUUCUAGUUAUCUUUAUCUCCUACUUGUUCAUAUUCAUCACCAUCUUGAAGAGGCAUUCAGCUAAGGGACACAAAAAAGCAUUAUCCACCUGUGCCUCUCAUUUCACUGCAGUCUCCAUCUUCUAUGGGACAGUCAUCUUCAUGUACUUGCAGCCCAGCUCCAGCCACUCCAUGGACACAGACAAAAUGGCAUCCGUGUUCUACGCUAUGAUCAUCCCCAUGCUGAACCCUGUGGUCUACAGCCUGAGGAACAGAGAAGUCAAGAAUGCAUUCAAGAAAGUGUUGAGAAGGCAAAAAUUUCUUUUUGCUUUCUCCAGAAUGUCAGAUAGUUGAAAUCAUAUGGUUGUCUGGCUAAGUGAAAAGCUGUAUGUGGUCACUCAAAGACACCUGCUGAUGAAGGUAUCAUCAUCUGUUUCUGCACCUGCUGGAACAUUAAGCCUUUUGAUUAUCAUAGCAGGAGAUGAGAUAACUGGAGAAUAAAGGAAGCUGAAAUUGGAAAGGCUACUUUUCUUACUCAAAUUUGAGGUGAAGCAACCAUGGUGCACAGAACAAAUGUUUAACCAUGACACUCG